AACGAACGCUGGCGGCAGGCUUAACACAUGCCAGUCGAACGCGUGCAGCAAUGCACGAGUGGCGCACGGGUGAGUAACGAGUGGAUAUCUGCCUUUUGGUUCGGAAUAACCCCGGGAAACUGGGGCUAAUACCGGAUGGUUCCUACGGGAUAAAGAUUUAUCGCCAAAGGAUGAGUCCGCGUCCGAUUAGCUAGUUGGUGAGGUAAUGGCUCACCAAGGCGACGAUCGGUAGCUGGUCUGAGAGGACGAUCAGCCACACUGGGACUGAGACACGGCCCAGACUCCUACGGGAGGCAGCAGUGGGGAAUAUUGGACAAUGGGGGCAACCCUGAUCCAGCCAUGCCGCGUGAGUGAUGAAGGCCUUCGGGUUGUAAAGCUCUUUUGGCGGGGACGAUGAUGACGGUACCCGCAGAAUAAGCCCCGGCUAACUUCGUG
rnacentral:rRNA from 1 species